UACGAAGGGGGGCUAGCGUUGCUCGGAAUCACUGGGCGUAAAGGGUGCGUAGGCGGGUCUUUUAAGUCAGGGGUGAAAUCCUGGAGCUCAACUCCAGAACUGCCUUUGAUACUGAGGAUCUUGAGUUCGGGAGAGGUGAGUGGAACUGGCGAGUGUAGAGGUGAAAUUCGUAGAUAUUCGCAAGAACACCAGUGGCGAAGGCGGCUCACUGGCCCGAUACUGACGCUGAGGCACGAAAGCGUGGGGGAGCAAACAGG
rnacentral:rRNA from 1 species